UUGCGUGUCAUGCCAUUUUAUUAUUUAUUUUAUUUAUGUAAAUAUUAUAAUUGUUCGAGUUCAAGAAUUGAAGAGAAGACAACGCCAAACAAUGACGUUGGUGGAGAAGCUUGCUCGUGGGUCAAAGAAUUGUAAUAAAUUAUUUAUUUAAUUCUUGCAUUUUGGUGGUCAUAAUCGUAUUAUCAAAUUGUGUUUUAUUUUAUACAUGUGAUGCAUGAAAUGUAUGAUUAUAUGGAAGUGUAUGAGAUACACAAAUAAGUGAAAUCAAACUUUAAAAAAU
rnacentral:lncRNA from 1 species